rnacentral:rRNA from 1 species
GACGAACGCUGGCGGCGUGCUUAACACAUGCAAGUCGAACGGUAAGGCCCUUCGGGGUACACGAGUGGCGAACGGGUGAGUAACACGUGGGUGAUCUGCCCUGCACUUCGGGAUAAGCCUGGGAAACUGGGUCUAAUACCGGAUAGGACUCCGGACUGCAUGGUCUGGGGUGGAAAGCUUUUGCGGUGUGGGAUGGGCCCGCGGCCUAUCCGCUUGGGGGUGGGGUGAUGGCCUACCAAGGCGACGACGGGUAGCCGGCCUGAGAGGGUGACCGGCCACACUGGGACUGAGAUACGGCCCAGACUCCUACGGGAGGCAGCAGUGGGGAAUAUUGCACAAUGGGCGCAAGCCUGAUGCAGCGACGCCGCGUGAGGGAUGAAGGCCUUCGGGUUGUAAACCUCUUUCAGCAUCGACGAAGCGAAAGUGACGGUAGGUGCAGAAGAAGGACCGGCCAACUACGUGCCAGCCGCCGCGGUAA